CAUGCAGUCGAGCGAACAGAGAAGGAGCUUGCUCCUUCGACGUUAGCGGCGGACGGGUGAGUAACACGUGGGCAACCUACCUUAUAGUUUGGGAUAACUCCGGGAAACCGGGGCUAAUACCGAAUAAUCUGUUUCACCUCAUGGUGAAACACUGAAAGACGGUUUCGGCUGUCGCUAUAGGAUGGGCCCGCGGCGCAUUAGCUAGUUGGUGAGGUAACGGCUCACCAAGGCGACGAUGCGUAGCCGACCUGAGAGGGUGAUCGGCCACACUGGGACUGAGACACGGCCCAGACUCCUACGGGAGGCAGCAGUAGGGAAUCUUCCACAAUGGGCGAAAGCCUGAUGGAGCAACGCCGCGUGAGUGAAGAAGGAUUUCGGUUCGUAAAACUCUGUUGUAAGGGAAGAACAAGUACAGUAGUAACUGGCUGUACCUUGACGGUACCUUAUUAGAAAGCCACGGCUAACUACGUGCCAGCAGCCGCGGUAAUACGUAGGUGGCAAGCGUUGUCCGGAAUUAUUGGGCGUAAAGCGCGCGCAGGUGGUUUCUUAAGUCUGAUGUGAAAGCCCACGGCUCAACCGUGGAGGGUCAUUGGAAACUGGGAGACUUGAGUGCAGAAGAGGAUAGUGGAAUUCCAAGUGUAGCGGUGAAAUGCGUAGAGAUUUGGAGGAACACCAGUGGCGAAGGCGACUAU
rnacentral:rRNA from 1 species